rnacentral:Y_RNA from 1 species
GGCUGGUCCGAUGGCAGUGGGUUAUCAGAACUUAUUAACAUUAGUGUCACUAAAGUUGGUAUACCACCCCCCCACUGCUAAAUUUGAUUGGCUUUAA